rnacentral:rRNA from 1 species
GAUGAACGCUGGCGGCGUGCCUAAUACAUGCAAGUCGAGCGAACAGACGAGGAGCUUGCUUCUCUGACGUUAGCGGCGGACGGGUGAGUAACACGUGGAUAACCUACCUAUAAGACUGGGAUAACUUCGGGAAACCGGAGCUAAUACCGGAUAAUAUUUUGAACCGCAUGGUUCAAUAGUGAAAGACGGUGUUGCUGUCACUUAUAGAUGGAUCCGCGCUGCAUUAGCUAGUUGGUAAGGUAACGGCUUACCAAGGCAACGAUGCGUAGCCGACCUGAGAGGGUGAUCGGCCACACGGGAACUGAAACACGGUCCAGACGCCUACGGGAGGCAGCAGUAGGGAAUCGUACGCAAUGGGCGAAAGCCUGACGGAGCAACGCCGCGUGAGUGAUGAAGGUCUUCGGAUCGUAAAACUCUGUUAUUAGGGAAGAACAAAUGUGUAAGUAACUGUGCACUUCUUGACGGUACCUAAUCAGAAAGCCACGGCUAACUACGUG